GAUGAACGCUGGCGGCGUGCCUAAUACAUGCAAGUCGAGCGAACAGAUAAGGAGCUUGCUCCUUUGACGUUAGCGGCGGACGGGUGAGUAACACGUGGGUAACCUACCUAUAAGACUGGAAUAACUCCGGGAAACCGGGGCUAAUGCCGGAUAACAUUUAGAACCGCAUGGUUCUAAAGUGAAAGAUGGUCUUGCUAUCACUUAUAGAUGGACCCGCGCCGCAUUAGCUAGUUGGUAAGGUAACGGCUUACCAAGGCAACGAUACGUAGCCGACCUGAGAGGGUGAUCGGCCACACUGGAACUGAGACACGGUCCAGACUCCUACGGGAGGCAGCAGUAGGGAAUCUUCCGCAAUGGGCGAAAGCCUGACGGAGCAACGCCGCGUGAGUGAUGAAGGUCUUCGGAUCGUAAAACUCUGUUAUUAGGGAAGAACAAAUGUGUAAGUAACUGUGCACGUCUUGACGGUACCUAAUCAGAAAGCCACGGCUAACUACGUG
rnacentral:rRNA from 1 species